rnacentral:lncRNA from 1 species
UAAAACGUAAUACAAGAUCUACGAUAAGAUUAAGGUAGAUUACUUACAGUGAUUCGUUUUCUCCCAAGUUUCUUACGUCCUGGUGACGGAUCCUGAGUCACCUAAAAGCACAUUAUAAUAAGCAUAUUAUUUUUUUUACUUGUUUGGAUCCUACCCGAAAUUUAGCCCAAGUCUAAUGUGUUCAUAUUGGAGCCUUGAUUGGGUCCAUAUGGUUUAAUUGGCCUUCUAAUUGGUCAUUAGGCUUAAUCCCAAGUUUAAUUGGGUCUGCUGGAAUUAACUCCACUCAACUGGGUUCGGACCCAAAUCAAUUUGGGCCUAAUUUGGUUCGGAUUUGACCCAAUUUGUAGUUUGGGCUCGUCCAGAUUUAGCCCAAUUAAAUUGGGCUCGGGUUCAGGUUCAAUUGGGUUCAGAUCCCACUCAAUCCCU